CUCCAGACUGACAUUUUCAAACAGAAAGUGCAAGAAGUGUUAUCUUUUGAUUCAAGAAUUUUGAUCCUCUCUUUCAGCUUUUUUCCUUUCCCCCCUGGUCUUGCAGGUGGGAAUCAGUGUUCUAAUGCACAUUAGCGCUGAAACGUUUUUUUCUUGGUGAUGCAUAAGGUUCACUAUUUUUUCACAGGUGCCACAUGUGCUCUGUCAUCAUUGCAGCAGAAUCAUGUGAAUAUUCUGACAGAAAUCUGGCCACAACAGGGAUAUCCAUCUUGGAAAAAUACAAACUUGAUCAAUAAAACAGUUGGUGGAAGAGGUGGAAACAUGUCUGACAGGCUGUGACUGAGCUGAAAAUCCAAGAACCCAAUCCAGGCUCUUACUACAAGAGCACUUUAAAGGGAGAAAAAGAUUUGGAAAAAUAUGGAGGUACCAGGAGUCAGAGAGACAUAGCACGGGUUUUGUCUGGAUGGUGUGAAGCCUGGAGGUCUCAGGAAAUGAAGUCAUGACAGCAAGCAGUUUUCUGUCUUUGACUGACGAGCUGUCUCUUGAGACACCCAUCUGCACCAACUGCCUCUUCCAGUAAGUUCCAUGGGGAAAACUGACCGCUGCUGUGGAUGUCUUGUGUGACUGAACCACUAACGAGAAACGGGUUACUGCUGAACACACUCACUUUGAAUUCUGCUUUAGGGUCAGAAGUGAUUUCAGCAAGGGGAUUUCUCAGCAAUAUUGUUCAUGCCUCUUGAUCGUAAACCUCCCAGCAACAGGUCAGCAGGGACCAGCUCUGGGACCUUCCAUGCAGAAAGCACUGGCCUCUAUCAACUAAAAUAGAUAUAUUUCUGGUAAAGGCUCACUGCUUGUGUUAUAUCUCCUCUGUUCUGGAACAAGGACAUAUGCAAUAAUAUUGUAAUCUUGAGCAGGGUAGCUGUGAGCAUGGAGAGGCUGACAAUGGGAGACACAUCUUUGUUUAUGGCCAAUUUCUGAAGAGGUAAUUGGCAGAUUAUUGCUUUGCUCUGCCUUCAUUCAUUUCCUAGCAGUCUGCAGUGGUAAAAAUAUGCUGAAGCCACUUCUGAGUUUUCUGUGAGGCUGUUUCUAUUUUUUUGGCUCUGUUUCUUGCCUUUACUGCCCGCAGUGCUCCUCACUCCACAGAAAACCUGUCUGCGCACGUGUUGAUUUUUUUCUCAUUUUUAGAUUAGUCUCGGUAGAAUGCAUUCUCCUGAAACAAACCUUGUGUGAUUGCAAUAAUAAUAAAGUAUGUAU